UUCAUUCAUCAAAGAUUUAUUGAGUGCUUACUGUGUGCCAGGCACUGUUCUAAAGACACAGCAGCAAACAAAACUGUUAUAGAACAGGAUAAGGCAGGUCAUCUCCCAGAUACGACACUUUGAUAGGAACACAAAAUACAAAUAGGAGAGUAGAAAGAGAUGAAAUACAAAGAGAAAGAGCUGAUAUUGGGCUUAUAUUAAUAUUGAAAGGCCUUACAUGCUAGAUAUUCUAAAUGGGAGAAACAUGCUGGAAAGAUACUUGGCAUGAAUGAACUUAUGUCCCUAUGUUCAGAACAGACUGCUUUCCCUUCUCUGUUGGUUGGCUCUUCUAGCCUCCUAGGAACUUUUAUAAUCACCAGUAUGAUCCAAUAUAAAUACUGCACAUAUGAAGGUUCCCAGUUGAGGAGUUUGGAAGCAAAAAGGGAAAGAAUGGCUGGCAAAGGCUUCAAUCUUCUGUCUCCUUUUAUCUUCCCAAUGGCUAGUAGAAAAUACUAUCAUCAAUCUCUUCCUUGCAACAAUCUCCCAUUUGAUAUUUGUCUGCAUUGUGACUCAAUUCCUGAAGGUUCUGUUCUUCAUUCCUUUCUGGUAGAAUCAGGAGCCUCAGCGCUUUCGGCGCCAUUUUCGAGUGAUGCCUGAUCUCAUCAAUCUAGCGGGAGAGACAGGAUAACCUGUCCGAGAGUAUAGCGCCACUAUGACUCCGCCGGAAAAAUUACUUUAAAAAUCGCCAAAAAUUACUUGGAGCAAAGGGCAGUCGGCGGAGCUUCGCCAAGGCUGGCGCAGUCGGUUUUGACCUGUAGCAGAGAACCAAUUCUGGAGAACAGCCUCACUUCUUUGAUUGAAUACUUACAUAAUGCAUUGGAACAUGACAUGAGAUUAAGAGGUUUAAUAAUGAUAGAAUGAAGACCACAAUAAAAGAGACCUCUACUUAGCUCAGCAAUUCUUACCUUAGUCUUACCUAUUUGAUGAAGAUGUCUUUUGAAAGGUGUACUGCAAGGAACAAAAUGUUUGUAAAUUCUCCUUUUACCAAGAGGUGGAUAAUUACUGUACCUUCCUCAUGGAAAAAGUUUUAUUUAAAGUGUUAUUUCUCAUUGAAUACUAUCAAAAAGGAAAAAAAAAUGACCUAAACUUUUGAGAUAGAUUUGGCUCUAGUAAGUAUUUAGUUAUAUCACUUGCAUAUCUGGGAGAAGAAAUAAGAGACUAUCAUCAGUACAUUCCCAUCUACUAAAAAAAUUUAUUUUACACAUGUCAAGGGAUUACUUAUAACUUCCAUUUUAUUACUAAUAGCUUGAACCCUUUUAAUGAAGACCUAACUCCUCCACCAGAAAUUUAAGUUUAUGUUCUUACUUUGUUUACUUAUAAAAUACAUCUCAGGUA
rnacentral:lncRNA from 1 species